CACGGGGGGAGCAAGCGUUGUUCGGAAUCACUGGGCGUAAAGGGCGCGUAGGCGGCUUUGUCAGUCGGGGGUGAAAGCCUGUGGCUCAACCACAGAAUUGCCUUCGAUACUGCAAGGCUUGAGACCGGAAGAGGUCAGUGGAACUGCGAGUGUAGAGGUGAAAUUCGUAGAUAUUCGCAAGAACACCAGUGGCGAAGGCGGCUGACUGGUCCGGAUCUGACGCUGAGGCGCGAAAGCGUGGGGAGCAAACAGG
rnacentral:rRNA from 1 species